AAACAAGAUACAGGCCCACAGCCCUUGGGCAAGCAGCCAUAUCCUCAAAAUAUUUGUUCUAAGCACCCAGGCCUUCCAUGAAGGUCACACAGUCAGGACCAAUGGUUUUACCAUCAGCACAUUCCCUAGCCCCAGUAUCCGAGUUGAGAUGCGAUUUAUUUGUGGAUUUGUAGACUGCCUGUUGCGCAUUUACCUGAGAGCCUAAAAGAAUGUCUAGUGUCUUGUGAGCUGUCGUCAUGGAAAUCAAAAAAAACAAUUAAAAAGAAUGUCCAGUGUCCUGAGGCCUUAGCGAAUCAAUCUCAAUACCG
rnacentral:lncRNA from 1 species